UUCCCCGAAGCCGCGCCAGAUGUCGCAAGCGCACGGAGCAGUGAGACCAUCUACACCAACGUCCAACACAAAAAGAUCGACUCGCUUCCUCGACCGAGAGCAACGUCCCUUCGUUCCGUUCUCUACCUGAAGCACGAGAACCAAAAAUGCCUCUGAGGAGACUUUUAGAGGUGGAGCCCCCCGGCCCUCUGCGCUAUAUAGUCGGGGCCGUGAUCAUGAUGGUCGGUGUCGUUCUGCCCGUCGGAUAUAUGAUGUUCCGGAACAAGCGGGUCCCGUCCGCUUCUUCCUACUCCAAGCAGACGUAGGAAUAAAGUCCUGAUAUAGGAAUGCUGCGGAGAUUUGGCUUCUUUUCUGUCCCUGGUUAUUGGAAGGACCACCGGUAAUGCGGUUGUUCUUAUUCAGCUUUGAAUGUAAAAUCUGAUUUUUGGGUUUUUAGUUGUUGGAAAUUCUAAUGCUGUUUCCAUAAGAUGAAUGUAUUUGGUCCGAUUUGUUUGUCAUGGAGAAGUGCAUUUGUUCA